UAUUAUAGGUAUCGCCAGCAGUGGCCAAGUGGGGAAGGAAAAGAACCCCUACACGACAGCAAAGGUGUAGUGUCUCUGCAGCCAGUAGCGGCCAGUGUCUAGUGUGUGCACACAUUUUCAGAGCACUUCAGAUGAUGUACUCAUUGCGAGCGACUGCUGCUCUAGUGAAUGGCAACAACAGUUGGCUUAUUUCAAUUUUAGUGGACCAAAAGAUUUAGAAACGCGGUGCUACGGGCGCAUAUUGCUUCAUAUGGAAAUAAUCAAUUCCCGCAAGGUGAUCAUUUAGGAGCUUAGAAGGGCGGGAUCGCUGUCAAGUGUCGUCGCUUUUUGCGUCGUUUUCGUCACCACAGGUGAAGGAAUUAUGCUGAACCAGGCUGCCAAGGGUGCGCGAAAAGUACCCCAAGAGAAUGACUGCAUUUUGCCAAAUCAACAUACAUCUCCAGUCAACAAACGGAAGGGCUUCAGUGG